GGAGGGGACAGCUCAGUGGUGGAGUGUGUGCUUAGCACGCACCAGGUCCUGGGUUCAAUCCCCAGUACCUCCA
rnacentral:tRNA from 1 species